rnacentral:rRNA from 1 species
CGUACACUCCUGCGGGAGGCAGCAGUGGGGAAUAUUGCACAAUGGGCGCAAGCCUGAUGCAGCCAUGCCGCGUGUAUGAAGAAGGCCUUCGGGUUGUAAAGUACUUUCAGCGGGGAGGAAGGCAAUACGGUUAAUAACCGUGUUGAUUGACGUUACCCGCAGAAGAAGCACCGGCUAACUCCGUGCCAGCAGCCGCGGUAAUACGGAGGGUGCAAGCGUUAAUCGGAAUUACUGGGCGUAAAGCGCACGCAGGCGGUCUGUCAAGUCGGAUGUGAAAUCCCCGGGCUCAACCUGGGAACUGCAUUCGAAACUGGCAGGCUUGAGUCUUGUAGAGGGGGGUAGAAUUCCAGGUGUAGCGGUGAAAUGCGUAGAGAUCUGGAGGAAUACCGGUGGCGAAGGCGGCCCCCUGGACAAAGACUGACGCUCAGGUGCGAAAGCGUGGGGAGCAAACAGGAUUAGAUACCCCGGUAGUCCCAUGA